rnacentral:misc_RNA from 1 species
GAAAUGCGAUAAGUAAUGUGAAUUGCAGAAUUCAGUAAAUCAUCGAAUCUUUGAACGCACAUUGCGCCCGCCAGUAUUCUGGCGGGCAUGCCUGUUCGAGCGUCAUUUCAACCAUCAAGCCCUAGGGCUUGUGUUGGGGCGCUGCGGCCGCCGCAGCCCCCUAAAAUCAGUGGCGGACUCGCUGUCAUUCCGAGCGCAGUAGCACAUCUCGCUCAGGGCGUGGCGGCGGGCUCCGGCCGUAAAACACCUACAAACUAAGGUUGACCUCGGAUCAGGUAGGAAUACCCGCUGAACUUAA